UACGAAGGGGGCUAGCGUUGCUCGGAAUCACUGGGCGUAAAGGGUGCGUAGGCGGGUCUUUAAGUCAGGGGUGAAAUCCUGGAGCUCAACUCCAGAACUGCCUUUGAUACUGAGGAUCUUGAGUUCGGGAGAGGUGAGUGGAACUGCGAGUGUAGAGGUGAAAUUCGUAGAUAUUCGCAAGAACACCAGUGGCGAAGGCGGCUCACUGGC
rnacentral:rRNA from 1 species